UGUCAGUAAUAAGGAACCCGAGUAUGCCU
rnacentral:piRNA from 1 species